CAGAGGGUAGUUUAAUAAAAACAAUAACUUUGGAAGUUAUAGAUCAGCGCAACCCUUGCCCCCUGA
rnacentral:tRNA from 1 species